ensembl:lncRNA
GUCUCUGUGUGCGGUCUCUGUGUGCGGUCUCUGUGUGCGGUCUCUGUGUGCGGUCUCUGUGUGCGGUCUCUGUGUGAGGUUCCGUGUGAGAUUCCAUGUGAGGUCUCCGUGUGAGGUUCCGUGUGAGGUUCCGUGUGAGGUCUCUGUGUGACGUUCUGUGUGACGUUCUGUGAUCUGGCUUGUGAUUGAGCUGAUGAUUUUCUGCUCGUAUGCAUAUUGAUUAUGAUGUUCAGGAAUUUGAGAUUCCUUCAUUUCCUGGAGUUCCACAUGUUCCGUUUACCAUCACGUUGUGUUCUUCAUGUUUCUUUCAUCUUUAUUAACUUUGUCUCUCUUGUUUCAUUAAAUUGAACUUAAGUUAGCUUUUUUUUAUUUGCACAAUCAAAUACAACAUAAACCUACAAACAGGGUUUUCAGAGGGCUUAGUGGAUGUAGCUUACCUUUAUGUGUACAUGUUGAACAUACUGAAAUACACUAGAGAUGCACUGAAUGUGCGGCAACCGAAAUUAUUCGGCCGAAAAUAGCAAUAAGUGAAAAGGCAGAAUAAAUUUGUCCGAACAAUGAUGUGUUUGAUGAUGCGACCAAAUAGCCUAGCAACCAGAGUGAGACGCGCGAAUAUCACGAUCUCAGCGCUCGGAGAGAUGAGGGGGCGCGCGCAUGCACCAGCUACGUGCACGAGUGCUCAGAGAGCGCAUGCUCUUCGGAUGUUGACAACCAUGACAUUGUUUAC